AUUGAACGCUGGCGGCAGGCCUAACACAUGCAAGUCGAGCGGAUGAAGGGAGCUUGCUCCUGGAUUCAGCGGCGGACGGGUGAGUAAUGCCUAGGAAUCUGCCUGGUAGUGGGGGAUAACGUCCGGAAACGGGCGCUAAUACCGCAUACGUCCUGAGGGAGAAAGUGGGGGAUCUUCGGACCUCACGCUAUCAGAUGAGCCUAGGUCGGAUUAGCUAGUUGGUGGGGUAAAGGCCUACCAAGGCGACGAUCCGUAACUGGUCUGAGAGGAUGAUCAGUCACACUGGAACUGAGACACGGUCCAGACUCCUACGGGAGGCAGCAGUGGGGAAUAUUGGACAAUGGGCGAGAGCCUGAUCCAGCCAUGCCGCGUGUGUGAAGAAGGUCUUUGGAUUGUAAAGCACUUUAAGUUGGGAGGAAGGGCAGUAAGUUAAUACCUUGCUGUUUUGACGUUACCAACAGAAUAAGCACCGGCUAACUUCGUG
rnacentral:rRNA from 1 species